AUUGAACGCUGGCGGCAGGCCUAACACAUGCAAGUCGAGCGGAUGAAGGGAGCUUGCUCCUGGAUUCCGCGGCGGACGGGUGAGUAAUGCCUAGGAAUCUGCCUGGUAGUGGGGGAUAACGUCCGGAAACGGGCGCUAAUACCGCAUACGUCCUGAGGGAGAAAGUGGGGGAUCUUCGGACCUCACGCUAUCAGAUGAGCCUAGGGCGGAUUAGCUAGUUGGUGGGGUAAAGGCCUACCAAGGCGACGAUCCGUAACUGGUCUGAGAGGAUGAUCAGUCACACUGGAACUGAGACACGGUCCAGACUCCUACGGGAGGCAGCAGUGGGGAAUAUUGGACAAUGGGCGAAAGCCUGAUCCAGCCAUGCCGCGUGUGUGAAGAAGGUCUUCGGAUUGUAAAGCACUUUAAGUAGGGAGGAAGGGCAGUAAGUUAAUACCUUGCUGUUUUGACGUUACCAACAGAAUAAGCACCGGCUAACUUCGUG
rnacentral:rRNA from 1 species